rnacentral:tRNA from 1 species
GCGAAAGCGGUCUAUCGGAGGAUAUUUGAAAAUCCUUGUGUCGGUGGUUCGAUUCCGCCCCGGGCCACCA